rnacentral:rRNA from 1 species
GACGAACGCUGGCGGCGUGCUUAACACAUGCAAGUCGAGGGGUCGUGGGCAACUCACGGAUCACCGGCGAACGGGUGCGUAACACGUGAGCGACCUGCCGUACCUGUGGGGGAUAGCCGGCCCAACGGCCGGGUAAUACCGCAUACGCUUGUCCUGGGGCAUCCUGGGACAAAGAAAGCUCUGGGGGCAACCCUGGGGCGCAGGACGAGGGGCUCGCGGCCUAUCAGCUAGUUGGCGGGGAACGGCCCACCAAGGCGGUGACGGGUAGCUGGUCUGAGAGGAUGGCCAGCCACAUUGGGACUGAGAGACGGCCCAGACUCCUACGGGAGGCAGCAGUGGGGAAUCUUGCGCAAUGGCCUAACGGCUGAACGCAGCGACGCCGCGUGUGGGAGGACGCCCUCGGGU